rnacentral:rRNA from 1 species
AUUGAACGCUGGCGGCAUGCCUUACACAUGCAAGUCGAACGGUAACGCGGGGCAACCUGGCGACGAGUGGCGAACGGGUGAGUAAUACAUCGGAACGUGCCCAGUAAUGGGGGAUAGCCCGGCGAAAGCCGGAUUAAUACCGCAUACGACCUAAGGGGGAAAGAGGGGGAUCGCAAGACCUCUCGUUAUUGGAGCGGCCGAUGGCAGAUUAGGUAGUUGGUGGGGUAAAGGCCUACCAAGCCGACGAUCUGUAGCUGGUCUGAGAGGACGACCAGCCACACUGGGACUGAGACACGGCCCAGACUCCUACGGGAGGCAGCAGUGGGGAAUUUUGGACAAUGGACGAAAGUCUGAUCCAGCAAUGCCGCGUGCGGGAAGAAGGCCUUCGGGUUGUAAACCGCUUUUGUCAGGGAAGAAAUCUUCUGGGUUAAUACCUCGGGAGGAUGACGGUACCUGAAGAAUAAGCACCGGCUAACUACGUGCCAGCCGCCGCAGUAAAAC